GGCAUGGUGGCUUAGUGGUUAGUACAUUUGUUUCAGACCCCUGGGGUUGGUGUUGGGGGUUCGAAUCCCACCUUUACCC